rnacentral:lncRNA from 1 species
AGAAUUGCUUCCAAAUAAAUAGUAUCUUGCUUCCAUCGAAGAGAUAAAAUAUCUCCAUUCAUAAUUACACAUGGUUCCAAUUCAAAUUAGUGAUUUGGCCGCGGAGAAAAUGCUACUGCCAAAUGGAGAGUAUGCUUCAAUAGGAGAAGUCAAAUUGCUUCCAUACUUCAAAUGUUGGAAAUUCAAAAGUGAACUAGCCAUCAUGUGAGGGAAGGUGUGAUCCCCAAAGAAGUUGAGGUGCCCUUGCCCGAGCGUUCUGAUCUUCUUCAUUGUGCCACCCUUGAAGUUGUAUACCCCAAACGUCUGAGCCAUGGCGAUCAAAGUGCGAACUUGACUCGUCGCCUCUGAAGUAGACACAUCCGGCCUUGGUUUCGGGCACCCCCCUCGUCACCAUGGAAAGAUAUGUGAGAAAACAAAAUAAAAAUAAGAAGCAUUGGUAACACAAAUAACUGAUUUUAUGCUAUCAUGCAAUGGAGACAUAGAAAUUUGAUUUGUGAAAUCUACAUGAUUGACAGGUAUGAUCUUGGCGGGCCAGAUUUAGGUGCAUACGUUUGAUGAAUCAUACAUUCCCUAUCCGAGGAAAAUACUUGUAUGAAAGCAAGACAUUAUAAAUAAAGAAAGCUUAUUUAAUUUGUUGAGCACGGUGCAUCAAGAAUGUAGGAAGCAUGAUAAUAUGGAAAAUCAACAUUAGCGAACUUGGUAUGAACUGUACAUCAUUAAUAGUUGAUAAGAAAGUAAGAUCGGUACCAUCUUGAGGAUGCAUCUAUUGUGUUGUCAAGCGUACAAACUGAACAGAUUAUCACUUAAUGGAUGGAAGCAGUUUCAUAGACGAACAAAACUAAAUGUUUACUAAGUAGAAACACCGAGGUUAGAAGUAAAAUAGCACUGGUUUCGUAGGUAGCAUUACUUGGAAACAUGGAAACUUGAAAAAUAAAGAAAACAAAAAUGGCCGCCAAAUGGGGAGGCACAUUUCUCAUAAAAUUACGGGAAGCAUGAAAACAUGGGAACUCAACAUAACUAAUAUUGGUAUGAAGCAUAGAAAACAGAGAAUGGAUACAAGAAGUAAGCCUGGUAGCAAGAUGAGGAUGCAUCUUCUGUGUUGGCAUGUUUCGAAACAGAACCAAAUUUCUGUUGGUAAAUGGAAGCAUUUUUAUAGUUCCCGAAGCAAAAUAAUUAUUCACUCCGUCCCAUAAUGUAAGACGUUUUUUUGACACUACACUAGAGUCAAAAAACGUCUUACAUUAUGGGACGGAGGGAGUACAUUAUAAAAGCACCUGGGUAAGAAGCAUGAAACGGGUGCGCUUGGUACAUAAAUAGUGUUAAGUGGAAGCAUGGAUAUUUGAGGUUGUUAUACAAAUUAUCUUGAUGUUGCUACCAAAAUGGGGAAGCAUAUUCGUGACAUGUUCAUACUAAUUCACAUAUAUUCAUUGCUGAUUUGCUGAUCCACUACACACAUGACAUAGUGAAAUCAAACCCAAGAAAAGGGUACGCCACAUAGAGAUAUCAACACAGUACUUGCAACAUUAAAUAUUUUUAACUAGCAUUGCGUCCAGAUGAGAGGAAUCAAUAUGUUCAAGAUGGUGCCUUUGGGGUGAGGGAUCCUGCAAUGGUGCAUGCAUGAUUUUUUUGUUCCCUAACUGUGUUGGCUCUCUGAUUCUAUGGACUACAGGACGCGAGACUCAAACCUGGCGAAGACGACCAGGAUGGAAGGGGGUUGCGAGAUUGCCUCGUUCCCCAACCGAACCGUCACACCAACUCAGUGUGGAGGGAGGGUAGCGGGCCAGGGAUCUGGCAGGGUGUAACGCCCCGGAUAUAACUUUCCACAUUCGUAACUUCGGCUCUUGCCUUUUUCGGAGAUGUGAUUUAUUAUUUCCUCCGUGGUUGGAUUUUUGUCUGUUGUUUUGCAUUUUGUUCUUGUUAUGCAUCUCAUCUCAUAGCAUCAUGCGCAUUGCAUCGGCAUCGUUUUCAUAAAAUUUGCAUCAGUUCGGGUUUUCCCGAUUCUCUCUGUUGUCCGUUCUGAGCCCGACCUCACUCGCCCGCGCCCGCGGCACCUCCGAAUAUUAUUUUAUAAGUGGCAUAAAAAUGUUUUCGGAAUGGGUUGCAACUUGUCGUGCGGUCUUAUUAUAGUGUAGACAGGCCGCCUGCCAAGUUUCGUCGCGUUUGGAGUUCGUUUGACUGCCCAACCGUUAGAUAUGUAACCGCGAUAUAGUCGGUUUAUUCGUCGGACGUUUCGGUCUCCGAAACUGCCACAGGGCCGCACCUCUUCUCUCUCCUCUCAGCCCAAGGCCUUCUAACCACAGCCCACCUGCAGCCACCUAGUCCCCCUCUCUGUCCGGAGCGCACGAUCGCGAUCCGAGGGUCCGAAAAGCCCCCCAAACCCCCAACCCUAGCCUCUUUUGCUAUAUAAAGACCCCCCUCUCCAUUUUUGGACAACCUACCCCUUCCCUAACCCCAGCCACAGCAAUCCCCCAUCCUCCUCGGGAUCUCCGCCGCCUCCCACCUUCAUUUCCGUGCCACCCGCUCCAGCUCCGCCACUUGUCGCCGCCGCCGCCACGCGCCACGGCGAACCCCAGUGCGCCACCUGUUCCCGAGCGCCGCCUCCAGCCAACCCCCAUGUGCCACGUCGCCCUGGCCUCCUUCCACCUCCCCGCGGCCCUCCCGGCCCGCACCAGGCCCACCCCGGGCCGAAUCGGGCCCGAGCCGCCGCCGCCGCUCCCGCAGGAGUCUGCCCGUGCGCCGUCCUCGUGCGCUCCCGAUCUGGAUCGAGGGGAGGAGCCCCUCGACCCCGAUUUCUCUCCCCUCAUCGGACCCAGCCUACCGCCGGGGAGCCCCGUCGCCGGAGCCCCACCGGACCCCGCCUCCUCCGUCGCCCAGAUCGUACCGCACAUCGCCCUACUCCUCCUUCCCUCCUCUCCUCCCUCACAGCUCUCUCUCUCCCUCCUUGCCGUGAACAGGAGCGCCGCUGUCGCUAGGAACCAUCUUGACCCGACGAGCCGCUGCCGGAUCCGUCCUCUGCUCCCUCCCCCGCGUCCAUUCCCGACCUCCACGCCCGUCGCCGUCGCCGAGAGAACCUCCUGCUGCCGGUCUUCUUCUGCGUUGGAGGGUGAACGAGGCAGCGCUCGCUGCCGUUGACCGCGCCGCCGCCGUGCUAGUCAGCUGCGUGGGCUGCCAGCCGCACCAAGCCCCAGCCCACCAGAUCUGCCGGCCUGCCAGGCCUCUCCUCCAGCCGGGCCUCAGCCCAUGGGUGAGCUGCCCCAGUGCCUCCUUUUUUUCCUUCUGCUGGGCCUGUUCCAGUGGUUUCGGCCCGCGUAGGUUUUUUUUAGCAUAUGUGAAUUUGUCUAAUUAUCCAGCGAUUUACAGUUUUACAGAAAACCCCCUAGACUUCAUGCAUAUAAUAUCUCACAAACGUGCAUCGGAUUAAAAUGUUUUAUAUAUGUAAAAUGCUCAGAAAAUUGUGUAGAUUAAUAAUAUGUCAUUUUCAUCCCAUGUUAAAAUGUUUAACAUGCUGUUUGUGUUUCUUUUGCAUAAUGCCAUGCUAAAAUGCUUUAAUUCAUAACUAAAUAACCGUAGCUCCAAAUUUAAUAAACUUUAUAUGUAAAUGGGGUGGAAAAAUGCCUAGUUUAACAUGGUCCACUUUAUUUUCCUGUUUAACAAACAUAAAAUUGUGUUUAGGGCAGAACAGUACCGAAUCUAAAAUAUGCAUAUGGGGAUUUUCCGGAAUUGUUGUUUUUUGUUUCCGGCCUCAUUUAAACUUGCCUAGAUAGGUAGUUUUCAUAUGUUUCACCUCUUGCCAUGUUUAACAACAUUUAAUAUUAUUGGGUACAUAACCGAGAUCAAACUAAAUAUGUCCAUGUGGUGUUUUGUCAAUAUGCAACUCGUUGCAUAUUGAGCUCCACUUAAUUUGUAGUAUUGUGUGUUGCAGUUUGCCAUGCCAUGCCUUUUUAAACCGGACAUGCAUCAUACUUGAUUGUGCAUCUUGCCAUGACUAUGCGUGUGUGUUUACCAUGUUGUUUGUUUCUUUCCGGUGUUGCUUCUUAGUUCUGGUAAUGUUGCGAUUGUGAGGAUUCGUUCGUCUGCUCCCGUUCGUCUUCUUCAUGGACUCGUUCUUCUUCCUAGCGGGAUUUCAGGCAAGAUGACCGCUACCCUGGAUCUCAAUACUAUCAUUGCUAUGCUAGUUGCUUCGUUCUAUCACUUUGCUGCGCUACCUAUCAUCUGUUUAUCAAGCCAUCCCAGAUUGCCAUGAACUUCUAACCUUUGACACCUUUCCUAUGCAAACCGUUGCUUGGCUAUGUUACCGCUUUUGCUCAGCCCCUCUUAUAGCGUUGCUAGUUGCAGGUGAAGUUGAAGAUUGCUCCAUGGUAGACAUGAUUUUGGUUGGGAUAUCACAAUAUCUCUUAUAUUAUCAAUGCAUCUAUACACUUGGUAAAGGGUGGAAGGCUCGGCCUUAUGCCUGGUGUUUUGUUCCACUCUUGCCGCCCUAGUUUCCGUCAUACCGGUGUUAUGUUCCCGGAUUUUGCGUUCCUUACGCGGUCGGGUGAUUUAUGGGACCCCCUUGACAGUUCGCUUUGAAUAAAACUCCUCCAGCAAGGCCCAACCAUGGUUUUACCAUUUGCCUCACCACCACCUAUAUUUCCCUUGGGAGUAAUUAACCCAAGGGUCAUCUUUAUUACAGCCCCCCCGGGCCAGUGCUUGUCUAAGUGUUGGUCCGAACUAGAGCCCUUUGCAGCGCCCCCUCAGGGAAACUUGAGGUCUGGUUUUAGUUGUACGGAUUGCUCAUCCAGUGUUGCCCUGAGAACGAGAUAUGUGCAACUCCUAUCGGGGUUGUCGGCGCAUCGGGCGGUCUUGCUGGUCUUGUUUUACCAUUGUCGAAAUGUCUUGUAAACUGGGAUUCCGAGUCUGAUCGGGUCUUCCUGGGAGAAGGUCUAUUCCUUCGUUGAUCGCGAGAGCUUGUCAUGGGCUAAGUUGGGACACCCCUGCAGGGUAUAAUCUUUCGAAAGCCGUGCCUGCGGUUAUAGGCAGAUGGGAAUUUGUUAAUGUCCGGUUGUAGAUGACUUGACAGCAGAUCCGAAUUAAAACGCAUCAACCGUGUGUGUAGCCGUGAUGGUCUCUUCUCGGCGGAGUCCGGGAAGUGAACACGAUUUCUGGGUUAUGUUUGACAUAAGUAGGUGUUCAGGAUCACCUCUUGAUCAUUGCUAGCUUCACGACCGUUCCUUUGCUUCUCUUCUCGCUCUUAUUUGCGUAUGUUAGCCACCAUAUAUGCUUAGUCGUUGCUGCAACCUCACCACUUUACCCCUUCCUUUCCCUUUAAGCUUUGCUAGUCUUGAUACCCAUGGUAAUGGGAUUGCUGAGUCCUCGUGGCUCACAGAUUACUACAACAACAGUUGCAGGUACAAGUUAUGUGAUGAUCAUGACACGAGAGCAAUGCUUGCUUGCGUUGAGUUCUUCUUCUGCUUCUUCGAUCAGGGGAUAGGUUCCAGGUCGGCAGCCUGGGCUAGCAGGGUGGAGGUCGUUUGAGUUUCUGUUUGUGAUUCAUCCGUAGACGGAUGAUGCUAUUAUGUAUUGUGAUGUUGUAUUCGUGUGGCAUUGUAUGCCUUAUGUAUGUAUCCCCAUCUAUUAUGUAAUGUUGAUAUAAUGAUAUCCACCUUGCAAAAGCGUUUCAAUAUGCGGGUCUAUCCUUGGUGGGACCUUCGAGUUCCUUUUGGAUAGGGUCGCAUAUUGGGCGUGACAAGUUGGUAAUCAGAGCCUCGACCGACCCUAGGAGCCCCCUUGUUUGUUGGCCGUUGUUGAGUCUAGAAGAAAACUAUUUUGAGUCUUAGGAUUAUAUAUAUCGGAGAGUAGGAUUCUUUUUACUCCUCAGCCCCCUUCAUCGCUCUGGUGAGGUCUCCUGACGUAGAUGUUUUGUCUUUGCUCUCCUCAAAUUUCACUAAAAAUUUUUAGGAUCACGCGGGUAUCUUAGAAUCGUUCCGAUGGUUUUGUGACGAGAACAUUGUUCUUGGUGCCUCCUGUCUAUUUAUGUGGCAUUGACCCGGGGAGUCGAGCUCUGAGGUGUUGUCGUCACAAUUUUAUCGUUGCAAUUUUGGAAUACCUGAGAUUUGCCGAUAUCAAAAAUCUCUUUUAUGCAGUUGUUGGUGAGAUAACCCUGAUAACCCAGUACUGGGGCGAGCUCAGGAGUAUUGCCAUAACUCGUAUAACGGAUGCUUUUCGAAGGUUGAGGUACACGAUUUCCGAUGGUUUCUUGGUUAUGUGUGGACGGAUGGAUACAGCUUGGAUGUAGGUAUUGUUAGUUUGGGUGAGAUAUAUUGCUUCCCCUGUAUCCCCAACACCAGAUUGCAUAACCAGAAAGUUUCGGGAGUUUAUAGGUGGGAAUUCAAGUAGCUCCUAGAAUAUCUUUCCAACAGAUGCAUGAUAUGGGAUUGGGUAAAUCUCUAUCAUAUGUAUUUGUUCCGGCUUAUUUCUGCAAGCCAAAUCCUUUGUUUUUGUUUUAUUUGUAGUAUUCGAGUUGCUUCAAUGUCAAGUGUUGAAUCCAUACCUUUCCUAAAUGGUGUUCUCAUAUUUUUAUGAGAGUGCUAAUCCUUCUUGAUCAUCGAGGUUGUCAUGUCAACUCUUUUCCAACCGGUGUGUUUCUCUUCAAGUGGAUCCGAUCAUUUCAACAUCCGCAAGAUCAAUUCUAAGUUUUCCCAACGGUGUUUGUUUCAUCCGUUCCCAAGUUGUCUUUGUUUUCCCGCCCUCCCACCCUUUUUCUGCAAGGACUCAUAUAUGUUAAUCAAGUAUCCAUUUAUUCAUGUGAAGUCUCUUCACUCUUUUCAAUCAAUGUUCUGAUCCGGUGAUCCCUCGUGAAGAUGCUCACGAGCUUCAAGUUCAUCAAUCUUCAUCCUCGUAUUCUUUUCCGGUGGAUUUAAUUCAAGCUUUCAGUGUUGAUCAUAUUCCUUUCCUCGUGUCAAAUGCUUUCUCAUGCCGGUGCACCUCUCAAUCACUCACCUUUUGCUAUUCAUGUGUUCCAGAGUGUUGAAGAUAUCUCAGAAGAUUUGUGUUUUCAUUCUCAAUCCGUUCAAGCUAUUUGGAGAUUGUUAUCUCAUUCAAGCCAUUUAAUUCAACCGGUGCAACCUCUCUUUAAAAUUGUUCAAAGAUGUUUCUUUCGAGUGGGCCCUAACCCAUAAGUCUUUUCCCAGGAUCUUACCUGACUCUUCUAAUUAUCCCGGAGCCAUUCUUAAAUUCUUUUCAAGUGUGACGUAAGAAUGAAUUAUCAUCAGUCAUAUGUCUUUCUCCAAGAUAUUUCAAAUUCUCUUCAUCGUUGGCUCAACCCCCUUCGCUUUUCAUUCUCCCGGAGUAUCUCAACAAUUCAUGGUGGUGUUUCUCCUCAUCUUUCUCAACAUUUGUAGACCGAAGAAGGAUUUCUCUUAAAUCUUGGUCCGUUCUCUUGAAGAUUCAUAGUUCUAGCUUAUGUCAUUCUCUCAUAAUUUUUUUCGAUUGUGAGAAUUCUUUUCAUCCAUCUGGAGCAAUUCAAGAGUCUUUUCAGAUUGAUUCUCCGUAGCCCAUCAUCUCAGAAUUAUUCAUUCAAGCUUUCAGCUCUCGUUCUCCAAAUCUAUCCGGUGCAUCAUUCAAGUAUCCUCUAAUCAGUUCAUGUUCUCUUCGUUGUCAUGUAUCUAAAUCCCCUCAAGUCUAUUCAUUCAUUUUCCAAUUCUUCCCAGUGAAUUGUGCCUUUGCUAAUCUCAUUUUCAAUUCUUACGGUGGUUCGUUCAAGAUUUCACUUCCUUUGUUAUCAUAUCAAUUCAUUCGUUGUUUCCAAUCCCACCGGUGGUUCCAUCAAGACCUUCUCGAGUUUGCGCUAUAUCCCUCUUAAUCCUUUCUACGAGAAUAAGUAGUAUGCCAAAUCCGUUGCUUGUCAUCAAUUAAAUUUGAAGAAGGAUAAGCAUACAAUAAAUCUUAUUCUUAUUUCCUCGAGGUGAUUCAAUUCUUUUCUUCUGAAGAUUGUUCAUGAUGAAGUAAUUCUCGGUUCUAGUGUUCAUAUUUUCUUUUACGGAGUUCCAUGUUUUCUCAGGUAUAUCAUCGCGAAGCUCCAUCUAAAUCAUUGCAAGGCUUCACCUUGUGUUUUCAACUUCUCUUUCUUUCUACCAUCCUUUCAUUAUCGGAGUUCUUCAUGGAGGCUCUACAUGAUGGUUUGUCAAGGAAUCUUUUCAUUCUUCAAUUGUUCUUCAAGAUUUCUCUUGAAGUUAUGAUCCGUCAAGCUAUACUCAAAAAUAAACAUGGUUCUCAACACAUGUCUUGUUUUGAGGAGUUCAAGUAUUCUUCAUCUUGCAUUGUGAAGUGCAAUUCGUUCUACCUUAUCAUCUUGAGGUGGUGUUAUGUCAGUCUUGACAAUUUGGGUUCGUGUUUCAUGAUUCACAUGUUGUCAAGAAUGAGGUAUUUUAAAUCCAUCAAUCCCUCCAUUGGAGUUAUCUUGUGUCAUAUUCCACCUAAAGCCUUCCAUUGGGAAUGUUGCUAUUUGUGGUGCUUAUCAUUGAUCCAAGCUUUCUCCAUAUCCUUCUCGGUGAAAGAGGUUUUUCAUCUCUUCGUUGAUCUCAAACAAGCAAUUGUUUUUCGUUAGUGGCAGAAUGUCAUCUCAUAGUCUUGCGAUGUUUCCAUAAGCCCACUACAAGCUUAUUCUUUUCGUUGUUGGUUUUCCAACAACCCCGUUGUAACCAUCUUGGAAGGGUGCUCAGUUGUGGCAGAAGUUGGCAUUUUCUUCUCCAUUCUGUUAUUCCAAUGAUCUAGCUUCUAUUCUUUCAUUCCGAAGGCAUUGUGAUGUUGUUCUCUUCACUCAUCAUCUUGUUUUGUCAAGAUCGUGUUCUUUUCCUUGCUUAUCCAUUUAACCAGAGUGUUGUGUCUAUCAUUCCUCAUUUAACCGGAGUCUCAUCCAAGUGCUUUCAUUUUGCCAAGUUCAUGUUAUAUUCCUUCCAUGUUCAACCGGAGUGCUGCCCGAAUUCUUCCUCUCUCAUCUUGUUGUAACCGGAGUGGUUUUGAACCCUAUCUUGUCCAUUAAACUCUUGAUUCAUGUCUUUGCAACCUUCAAGUUAUCGUAAUGUUCCUUGUUCCUCUUUUCUAACAGAUUGUUUGCAAUCUCGUUCAUCUCUGUUGUACUAUUUCUUUUAUAUUGCUCAACCUCUCAAGGUUCAUGGUUUCACUCAUUUGUCGAAGAAGCAACUUAGUUUUACCGCUUAUCUUCCUCUUCCUUUUCCGUCCGGUGCCAUCCUAGAUCUCGGGACGAGAUCCUCUCAUAGUGGUGUAGUGUUGUAACGCCCCGGAUACAACUUUCCAUAUUCGUAACUCCGACUCUUGCCUUUUCCGGAGAUGUGAUUUAUUAUUUCCUCCGUGGUUGGGUUUUUGUCUGUUGUUUUGCAUUUUGUUCUUGUUAUGCAUCUCAUCUCAUAGCAUCAUGCGCAUUGCAUCGGCAUCGUUUUCAUAAAACUUGCAUCCGUUUGGGUUUCCCCGAUUCUCUCCGUUGUCCGUUCUGAGCCCGACCACACUCGCACGCGCCCGCGGCACCUCCGAAUAUUAUUUUAUAAGUGGCAUAAAAAUGUUCUCGGAAUGGGUUGCAACUUGUCGUGCGGUCUUAUUAUAGUGUAGACAGGCCGCCUGCCAAGUUUCGUCGCGUUUGGAGUUCGUUUGACUGCCCAACCGUUAGAUAUGUAACCGCGAUAUAGUCGGUUUAUUCGUCGGACGUUUCGGUCUCCGAAACUGCCACAGGGCCGCACCUCUUCUCUCUCCUCUCAGCCCAAGGCCUUCUAACCACAGCCCACCUGCAGCCACCUAGUCCCCCUCUCUGUCCGGAGCGCACGAUCGCGAUCCGAGGGUCCGAAAAGCCCCCAAAACCCCCAACCCUAGCCUCUUUUGCUAUAUAAAGACCCCCUCUCCAUUUUUGGACAACCUACCCCUUCCCUAACCCCAGCCGCAGCAAUCCCCCAUCCUCCUCGGGAUCUCCGCCGCCUCCCACCUCCAUUUCCGCGCCACCCGCUCCAGCUCCGCCACUUGUCGCCGCCGCUGCCACGCGCCACGGCGAACCCCAGUGCGCCACCUGUCCCCGAGUGCCGCCUCCAGCCAACCCCCAUGUGCCACGUCGCCCUGGCCUCCUUCCACCUCCCCGCGGCCCUCCCGGCCCGCACCAGGCCCACCCUGGGCCGAAUCGGGCCCGAGCCGCCGCCGCCGCUCCCGCAGGAGUCUGCUCGUGCGCCGUCCUCGUGCGCUCCCGAUCUGGAUCGAGGGGAGGAGCCCCUCGACCCCGAUUUCUCUCCCCUCACCGGACCCAGCCUACCGCCGGCGAGCCCCGUCGCCGGAGCCCCACCGGACCCCGCCUCCUCCGUCGCCCAGAUCGUACCGCACAUCGCCCUAUUCCUCCUUCUUCCCUCCUCUCCUUCCUCACAGCUCUCUCUCUCCCUCCUUGCCGUGAACAGGAGCGCCGCUGUCGCCAGGAACCGUCUUGACCCGACGAGCCGCUGCCGGAUCCGUCCUCUGCUCCCUCCCCCGCGUCCAUUCCCGACCUCCACGCCCGUCGCCGUCGCCGAGAGAACCUCCUGCUGCCGGUCUUCUUCUGCGUUGGAGGGUGAACGAGGCAGCGCUCGCUGCCGUUGACCGCGCCGCCGCCGUGCUAGUCAGCUGCGUGGGCUGCCAGCCGCACCAAGCCCCAGCCCACCAGAUCUGCCGGCCUGCCAGGCCUCUCCUCCAGCCGGGCCUCAGCCCAUGGGUGAGCUGCCCCAGCGCCUCCUUUUUUUCCUUCUGCUGGGCCUGUUCCAGUGGUUUCGGCCCGCGUAGGUUUUUUUUAGCAUCUGUGAAUUUGUCUAAUUAUCCAGCGAUUUACAGUUUUACAGAAAACCCCCUAGACUUCAUGCAUAUAAUAUCUCACAAACCGUGCAUCGGAUUAAAAUGUUUUAUAUAUGUAAAAUGCUCAGAAAAUUGUGUAGAUUAAUAAUAUGUCAUUUUCAUCCCAUGUUAAAAUGUUUAACAUGCUGUUUGUGUUUCUUUUGCAUAAUGCCAUGCUAAAAUGCUUUAAUUCAUAACUAAAUAACCGUAGCUCCAAAUUUAAUAAACUUUAUAUGUAAAUGGGAUGUAAAAAUGCCUAGUUUAACAUGGUCCACUUUAUUUUCCUGUUUAACAAACACAAAAUUGUGUUUAGGGCAGAACAGUACCGAAUCUAAAAUAUGCAUAUGGGGAUUUUCCGGAAUUGUUGUUUGUUGUUUCCGGCCUCAUUUAAACUUGCCUAGAUAGGUAGUUUUCAUAUGUUUCACCUCUUGCCAUGUUUAACAAUAUUUAAUAUUAUUGGGUACAUAACCGAGAUCAAACUAAAUAUGUCCAUGUGGUGUUUUGUCAAUAUGCAACUCGUUGCAUAUUGAGCUCCACUUAAUUUGUAGUAUUGUGUGUUGCAGUUUGCCAUGCCAUGCCUCUUUAAACCGGACAUGCAUCAUACUUGAUUGUGCAUCUUGCCAUGACUAUGCGUGUGUGUUUACCAUGUUGUUUGUUUCUUUCCGGUGUUGCUUCUUAGUUCCGGUAAUGUUGCGAUUGUGAGGAUUCGUUCGUCUGCUCCCGUUCGUCUUCUUCAUGGACUCGUUCUUCUUCCUAGCGGGAUUUCAGGCAAGAUGACCGCUACCCUGGAUCUCAAUACUAUCAUUGCUAUGCUUGUUGCUUCGUUCUAUCACUUUGCUGUGCUACCUAUCAUCUGUUUAUCGAGCCAUCCCAGAUUGCCAUGAACCUCUAACCUUUGACACCUUUCCUAUGCAAACCGUUGCUUGGCAAUGUUACCGCUUUUGCUCAGCCCCUCUUAUAGCGUUGCUAGUUGCAGGUGAAGUUGAAGAUUGCUCCAUGGUAGACAGGAUUUUGGUUGGGAUAUCACAAUAUCUCUUAUAUUAUCAAUGCAUCUAUACACUUGGUAAAGGGUGGAAGGCUCGGCCUUAUGCCUGGUGUUUUGUUCCACUCUUGCUGCCCUAGUUUCCGUCAUACCGGUGUUAUGUUCCCGGAUUUUGCGUUCCUUACGCGGUCGGGUGAUUUAUGGGACCCCCUUGACAGUUCGCUUUGAAUAAAACUCCUCCAGCAAGGCCCAACCUUGGUUUUACCAUUUGCCUCACCACCACCUAUAUUUCCCUUGGGAGUAAUUAACCCAAGGGUCAUCUUUAUUACAGCCCCCCCGGGCCAGUGCUUGUCUAAGUGUUGGUCCGAACUAGAGCCCUUUGCAGCGCCCCCUCAGGGAAACUUGAGGUCUGGUUUUAGUUGUACGGAUUGCUCAUCCGGUGUUGCCCUGAGAACGAGAUAUGUGCAGCUCCUAUCGAGAUUGUCGCUGCAUCGGGCGGUCUUGCUGGUCUUGUUUUACCAUUGUCAAAAUGUCUUGUAAACCGGGAUUCCGAGUCUGAUCGGGUCUUCCUGGGAGAAGGUCUAUUCCUUCGUUGAUCGCGAGAGCUUGUCAUGGGCUAAGUUGGGACACCCCUGCAGGGUAUAAUCUUUCGAAAGUCGUGCCUGUGGUUAUAGGCAGAUGAGAAUUUGUUAAUGUCCGGUUGUAGAUGACUUGACACCAGAUCCGAAUUAAAACGCAUCAACCGUGUGUGUAGCCGUGAUGGUCUCUUCUCGGCGGAGUCCGGGAAGUGAACACGGUUUCUCGGUUAUGUUUGACGUAAGUAGGUGUUCAGGAUCACCUCUUGAUCAUUGCUAGCUUCAUGACCGUUCCUUUGCUUCUCUUCUCGCUCUUAUUUGCGUAUGUUAGCCACCAUAUAUGCUUAGUCGCUGCUGCAACCUCACCACUUUACCCCUUCCUUUCCCUUUAAGCUUUGCUAGUCUUGAUACCCAUGGUAAUGGGAUUGCUGAGUCCUCGUGGCUCACAGAUUACUACAACAAUAGUUGCAGGUACAAGUUAUGCGAUGAUCAUGACGCGAGAGCGAUGCUUGCUUGCGUUGAGUUCUUCUUCUACUUCUUCGAUCAGGGGAUAGGUUCCAGGUCGGCAGCUUGGGCUAGCAGGGUGGAGGUCGUUUGAGUUUCUGUUUGUGAUUCAUCCGUAGAUGGAUGAUGCUAUUAUGUAUUGUGAUGCUAUUAUGUAUUGUGAUGUUGUAUUCGUGUGGCAUUGUAUGCCUUAUGUAUGUAUCCCCAUCUAUUAUGUAAUGUUGAUGUAAUGAUAUCCACCUUGCAAAAGCGUUUCAAUAUGCGGGUCUGUCCUUGGUGGGACCUUCGAGUUCCUUUUGGAUAGGGUCGCAUAUUGGGCGUGACACAGGGAACCAGGCGAUGAUGUGGUCAUGAGGCCAGCACAGAUAACAAGGUUGGACUGGAGGAUACGGGGGCAGGACGACGUACCGCCAACUUUGAGCAGCUACAGCGAUGCGGAUCCAUCGCGGUGGUGGUGGAGGUAGCCGUCGCGGCUAGCGAGCUCGGGGUUCUCUCGCCGGAGGGAUGCUAUACGAGUUGAGAUGCUUGGUCGGGUAGGCGAGAUUGACUCAAACCAUCGCACGAGAUUUGGUGGGGUGGUUGGGAUGGGAU